CAGCCGCCGCGGGAAUACGUAGGUGGCAAGCGUUGUCCGGAAUUAUUGGGCGUAAAGCGCGCGCAGGCGGUUUCUUAAGUCUGAUGUGAAAGCCCCCGGCUUAACCGGGGAGGGUCGUUGGAAACUGGGAGACUUAGAGUGCAGAAGAGGAGAGUGGAAUUCCAUGUGUAGCGGUGAAAUGCGUAGAUAUAUGGAGGAACACCAGUGGCGAAGGCGACUCUCUGGUCUGUAACUGACGCUGAGGCGCGAAAGCGUGGGGAGCGAACAGGAUUAGAUACCCGCGUAGUCCCUGUCUCUUAUA
rnacentral:rRNA from 1 species